AGAAAGGUGCGUAGCGAUAGACAUAAGAAGAAGGAGCGUAGCGAGGAUAAGAGAGAAUGAGUACACGGAUUGCCGAUGGAUGGAGGGCGUUGAUUGGGUAAACUGGAAAGCUGAAAGGUGCUGGCUAUUGGAAAGUCUCUGUUUACCGCGAAGUGAAUAAAGUUGGGGGGAGAAGAAAAGAAAGGGAUGGUAGGGAGCCUAUCACUGCUUAU
rnacentral:misc_RNA from 1 species